rnacentral:rRNA from 1 species
GGGUGAGUAACACGUGAGCAACCUGCCCCUGACUCUGGGAUAAGCGCUGGAAACGGCGUCUAAUACUGGAUAUGUGACGUGACCGCAUGGUCUGCGUCUGGAAAGAAUUUCGGUUGGGGAUGGGCUCGCGGCCUAUCAGCUUGUUGGUGAGGUAAUGGCUCACCAAGGCGUCGACGGGUAGCCGGCCUGAGAGGGUGACCGGCCACACUGGGACUGAGACACGGCCCAGACUCCUACGGGAGGCAGCAGUGGGGAAUAUUGCACAAUGGGCGCAAGCCUGAUGCAGCAACGCCGCGUGAGGGACGACGGCCUUCGGGUUGUAAACCUCUUUUAGCAGGGAAGAAGCGAAAGUGACGGUACCUGCAGAAAAAGCGCCGGCUAACUACGUGCCAGCAGCCGCGGUAAUACGUAGGGCGCAAGCGUUAUCCGGAAUUAUUGGGCGUAAAGAGCUCGUAGGCGGUUUGUCGCGUCUGCUGUGAAAUCCGGAGGCUCAACCUCCGGCCUGCAGUGGGUACGGGCAGACUAGAGUGCGGUAGGGGAGAUUGGAAUUCCUGGUGUAGCGGUGGAAUGCGCAGAUAUCAGGAGGAACACCGAUGGCGAAGGCAGAUCUCUGGGCCGUAACUGACGCUGAGGAGCGAAAGGGUGGGGAGCAAACAGGCUUAGAUACCCUGGUAGUCCACCCCGUAAACGUUGGGAACUAGUUGUGGGGUCCAUUCCACGGAUUCCGUGACGCAGCUAACGCAUUAAGUUCCCCGCCUGGGGAGUACGGCCGCAAGGCUAAAACUCAAAGGAAUUGACGGGGACCCGCACAAGCGGCGGAGCAUGCGGAUUAAUUCGAUGCAACGCGAAGAACCUUACCAAGGCUUGACAUAUACGAGAACGGGCCAGAAAUGGUCAACUCUUUGGACACUCGUAAACAGGUGGUGCAUGGUUGUCGUCAGCUCGUGUCGUGAGAUGUUGGGUUAAGUCCCGCAACGAGCGCAACCCUCGUUCUAUGUUGCCAGCACGUAAUGGUGGGAACUCAUGGGAUACUGCCGGGGUCAACUCGGAGGAAGGUGGGGAUGACGUCAAAUCAUCAUGCCCCUUAUGUCUUGGGCUUCACGCAUGCUACAAUGGCCGGUACAAAGGGCUGCAAUACCGCGAGGUGGAGCGAAUCCCAAAAAGCCGGUCCCAGUUCGGAUUGAGGUCUGCAACUCGACCUCAUGAAGUCGGAGUCGCUAGUAAUCGCAGAUCAGCAACGCUGCGGUGAAUACGUUCCCGGGUCUUGUACACACCGCCCGUCA